rnacentral:rRNA from 1 species
CGCGGCCUAUCAGCUUGUUGGUGGGGUAAUGGCCUACCAAGGCGGCGACGGGUAGCCGGCCUGAGAGGGUGGACGGCCACAUUGGGACUGAGAUACGGCCCAGACUCCUGCGGGAGGCAGCAGUGGGGAAUAUUGCACAAUGGGCGCAAGCCUGAUGCAGCGACGCCGCGUGGGGGAUGACGGCCUUCGGGUUGUAAACUCCUUUCGCUAGGGACGAAGCUUUUUGUGACGGUACCUAGAUAAGAAGCACCGGCUAACUACGUGCCAGCAGCCGCGGUAAUACGUAGGGUGCGAGCGUUGUCCGGAAUUACUGGGCGUAAAGGGCUCGUAGGUGGUUUGUCGCGUCGUCUGUGAAAUUUCGGGGCUUAACUCCGGGCGUGCAGGCGAUACGGGCAUAACUUGAGUACUGUAGGGGUAACUGGAAUUCCUGGUGUAGCGGUGAAAUGCGCAGAUAUCAGGAGGAACACCGAUGGCGAAGGCAGGUUACUGGGCAGUUACUGACGCUGAGGAGCGAAAGCAUGGGUAGCGAACAGGAUUAGAUACCCUGGUAGUCCAUGCCGUAAACGGUGGGCGCUAGGUGUGAGGGUCUUUUCACGACUUUCGUGCCGUAGCUAACGCAUUAAGCGCCCCGCCUGGGGAGUACGG